GGGGUUCCUGCCCAAAUAUUAGUCAGUUUGCUGGCAGGUUCCCAGCUUGUAGGUAAGCACAUGUUACACUUUAUUAACCAUAAGCCAUUUGUAUUGCUGUUUUUACAGUCAGGGGAAUCUGGGCUGCAUAGCGGCGUGACUCUGAACAGGACCCUUUUUCUAGUGGACACAUGUGCUGUUGCAGAACAUGAGUAAAGGCUCUUGAGCCGUAACAGAUUGCAGCAGUCAUCAGUCUCCACUGGCUUCAUCUAUGACUGAUCGACAUGCUAUUCCUGGGUCUUUCUAAAAGUAAGCUCCAGAUUGUCCCAUCUAGGCUGGACCUCAUGCUACGGCCUUUCUGUUAAUCUGCCACUUUAUUGUCACUCUUUCAUUCAGACUUGUAAAGACAUGUAAGACACGUCUUCAUUCUCAUUGGAUGAAUUGUCCUGUUAGUUAUUAGCCUCCUCUGGACCAUAUUACAGUUCAGGCUUUAAUAAUUCAGGAUGCAGCAGAUGAAUAGGGAGAAGAGAGAUAUCACUUGGCUCUUGAGAAUAGCUCUAUAAGGAGAGGCACAGACCGGUGCACCAAUGUUGCAGGAGGCAGGUAGAGUAUAAUGCGCAGACGCAGUGCACGGUUGUGCAACCUGAUGACACGUGUGACCCUAACCCCGGCGAUACCGUGUGCCUUUUGCUCCUGAGUGCAGAACCGUGACAGGAUGAGGUCGCAGCAAGAUGUGAACCUAUAGGAACGGGCAUCCAGCUUCUGCAGAAGCUUCAACUCAGUGCUCCGGUCAACUGAGAACUUGGGUGCUGGCGACGAAGGAGCAUCCUGGUGGUGGACCAACCUCCCAGGCUUGACCAGCACCUCUGCCAGCUCUCUCUCCACCUGCAUGACAAGGCGUGAAAGCAGCCGCGAUGUUGCAUUCUCCAUUGGGACUCUGGUUAAGUGAAACCGAGCCUGCAAA